GAUGAACGCUGGCGGCGUGCCUAAUACAUGCAAGUCGAGCGAACGGACGAGAAGCUUGCUUCUCUGAUGUUAGCGGCGGACGGGUGAGUAACACGUGGAUAACCUACCUAUAAGACUGGGAUAACUUCGGGAAACCGGAGCUAAUACCGGAUAAUAUUUUGAACCGCAUGGUUCAAAAGUGAAAGACGGUCUUGCUGUCACUUAUAGAUGGAUCCGCGCUGCAUUAGCUAGUUGGUAAGGUAACGGCUUACCAAGGCAACGAUGCAUAGCCGACCUGAGAGGGUGAUCGGCCACACUGGAACUGAGACACGGUCCAGGCUCCUACGGGAGGCAGCAGUAGGGAAUCUUCCGCAAUGGGCGAAAGCCUGACGGAGCAACGCCGCGUGAGUGAUGAAGGUCUUCGGAUCGUAAAACUCUGUUAUUAGGGAAGAACAUAUGUGUAAGUAACUGUGCACAUCUUGACGGUACCUAAUCAGAAAGCCACGGCUAACUACGUGCCAGCAGCCGCGGUAAUACGUAGGUGGCAAGCGUUAUCCGGAAUUAUUGGGCGUAAAGCGCGCGUAGGCGGUUUUUUAAGUCUGAUGUGAAAGCCCACGGCUCAACCGUGGAGGGUCAUUGGAAACUGGAAAACUUGAGUGCAGAAGAGGAAAGUGGAAUUCCAUGUGUAGCGGUGAAAUGCGCAGAGAUAUGGAGGAACACCAGUGGCGAAGGCGACUUUCUGGUCUGUAACUGACGCUGAUGUGCGAAAGCGUGGGGAUCGAACAGGAUUAGAUACCCUGGUAGUCCACGCCGUAAACGAUGAGUGCUAAGUGUUAGGGGGUUUCCGCCCCUUAGUGCUGCAGCUAACGCAUUAAGCACUCCGCCUGGGGAGUACGACCGCAAGGUUGAAACUCAAAGGAAUUGACGGGGACCCGCACAAGCGGUGGAGCAUGUGGUUUAAUUCGAAGCAACGCGAAGAACCUUACCAAAUCUUGACAUCCUUUGACAACUCUAGAGAUAGAGCCUUCCCCUUCGGGGGACAAAGUGACAGGUGGUGCAUGGUUGUCGUCAGCUCGUGUCGUGAGAUGUUGGGUUAAGUCCCGCAACGAGCGCAACCCUUAAGCUUAGUUGCCAUCAUUAAGUUGGGCACUCUAAGUUGACUGCCGGUGACAAACCGGAGGAAGGUGGGGAUGACGUCAAAUCAUCAUGCCCCUUAUGAUUUGGGCUACACACGUGCUACAAUGGACAAUACAAAGGGCAGCGAAACCGCGAGGUCAAGCAAAUCCCAUAAAGUUGUUCUCAGUUCGGAUUGUAGUCUGCAACUCGACUACAUGAAGCUGGAAUCGCUAGUAAUCGUAGAUCAGCAUGCUACGGUGAAUACGUUCCCGGGUCU
rnacentral:rRNA from 1 species